CACGUAGGGGGCAAGCGUUGUCCGGAAUUAUUGGGCGUAAAGAGCUCGUAGGCGGUUUGUCGCGUCGAAUGUGAAAACCCGGGGCUCAACCCCGGGCCUGCAUUCGAUACGGGCAGACUAGAGUUCGGUAGGGGAGUCUGGAAUUCCUGGUGUAGCGGUGAAAUGCGCAGAGAUCGGGAGGAACACCCGUAGCGAAGGCAGCUCGCUGGGACGGAACUGACGCUGAGGCGCGAAAGCGUGGGGAGCGAACAGG
rnacentral:rRNA from 1 species